UACGUAGGUGGCGAGCGUUGUCCGGAUUUAUUGGGCGUAAAGAGCCCGCAGGCGGCUCGGCAAGUUUCAGGUGAAAUCUCCCGGCUUAACCGGGAGGGUGCCUGGAAAACUGCCGGGCUUGAGGCAGGGAGAGGGAUGCGGAAUUCCAGGUGUAGCGGUGAAAUGCGUAGAUAUCUGGAGGAACACCGGUGGCGAAGGCGGCAUCCUGGACCAACACUGACGCUGAGGGAGCGAAAGCCAGGGGAGCAAACGGG
rnacentral:rRNA from 1 species